rnacentral:rRNA from 1 species
CAAAAACAUGUCCUUUUGUUUAUGAUUUAAGGUCAGGCCUGCCCAAUGAUUAUUUUAAAUGGCCGCAGUAUUUUGACUGUGCAAAGGUAGCAUAAUCAUUAGUUUCUUAAUUAGAAGCUGGAAUGAAUGGUUCGAUGAAAAAUUGACUGUCUCAAAUUAAUUGAUUUUGAAUUUUAUUUUUAAGUGAAAAAGCUUAAAUUUUUUAUAAAGACGAGAAGACCCUAUAGAGUUUUAUAUUUAUUAUUAUUAAUUUUUUAAAGUUUUUCUUAUAUUUAAUAUUAUUAAAUAUUUUGUUGGGGUGACAUUAAAAUUUAAUAAACUUUUAUUUUUUAAAACAUUAAUUUAUGAUUAAAUGAUCCUAUUUUUUAGAUUAUAAGAAAAAAUUACCUUAGGGAUAACAGCGUAAUUUUUUUGGAAAGUUCUUAUUGAUAAAAAAGUUUGCGACCUCGAUGUUGGAUUAAAAUUUAGUUUAGGUGUAGAAGCUUGAAUAUUAGGUCUGUUCGACCUUUAAAAUUUUACAUGAUCU